UACGGCCACAUCACGUUGAAACACCGGUUCCCGUACGAUCACUGAACUUAAGCAACAUAGAGCCUGGUCAGUACCUAGAUGGGUGCCUGCUUGUGUAAACCAGAUGCUGU